UACGGAGGGUGCAAGCGUUAAUCGGAAUUACUGGGCGUAAAGCGUGCGCAGGCGGUUUGUUAAGUCUGUUGUGAAAUCCCCGAGCUCAACUUGGGAAUUGCAAUGGAUACUGGCAGGCUGGAGUAUGGUAGAGGAAGGUGGAAUUCCCGGUGUAGCAGUGAAAUGCGUAGAGAUCGGGAGGAACACCAGUGGCGAAGGCGGCCUUCUGGACCAGUACCGACGUUCAGGCACGAAAGCGUGGAGAGCAAACAGG
rnacentral:rRNA from 1 species